CAAAGGAGCAAUCCGCUGAAAGAUGGGCUCGCGUCCGAUUAGGUAGUUGGCGAGGUAACGGCCCACCAAGCCGACGAUCGGUAGCCGGACUGAGAGGUUGAACGGCCACAUUGGGACUGAGACACGGCCCAGACUCCUACGGGAGGCAGCAGUGAGGGAUAUUGGUCAAUGGGGGAAACCCUGAACCAGCAACGCCGCGUGAGGGAAGACGGUUUUCGGAUUGUAAACCUCUGUCCUCUGUGAAGAUGAUGACGGUAGCAGAGGAGGAAGCUCCGGCUAACUACGUGCCAGCAGCCGCGGUAAUACGUAGGGAGCGAGCGUUGUCCGGAUUUACUGGGUGUAAAGGGUGCGUAGGCGGCUUUGCAAGUCAGAAGUGAAAUCUAUGGGCUUAACCCAUAAACUGCUUUUGAAACUGCAGGGCUUGAGUGAAGUAGAGGUAGGCGGAAUUCCCGGUGUAGCGGUGAAAUGCGUAGAGAUCGGGAGGAACACCAGUGGCGAAGGCGGCCUACUGGGCUUUAACUGACGCUGAGGCACGAAAGCGUGGGUAGCAAACAGGAUUAGAUACCCUGGUAGUCCACGCUGUAAACGAUGAUUACUAGGUGUGG
rnacentral:rRNA from 1 species